rnacentral:rRNA from 1 species
CCUACGGGCGGCUGCAGUGGGGAAUAUUGGACAAUGGGGGGAACCCUGAUCCAGCCAUGCCGCGUGUGUGAAGAAGGCCCUCGGGUUGUAAAGCACUUUCAGUGAGGAAGAACGCCUGGUGGUUAAUACCCAUCAGGAAAGACAUCACUCACAGAAGAAGCACCGGCUAACUCCGUGCCAGCAGCCGCGGUAAUACGGAGGGUGCGAGCGUUAAUCGGAAUUACUGGGCGUAAAGCGCGCGUAGGUGGCUUGAUAAGCCGGUUGUGAAAGCCCCGGGCUCAACCUGGGAACGGCAUCCGGAACUGUCAAGCUAGAGUGCAGGAGAGGAAGGUAGAAUUCCCGGUGUAGCGGUGAAAUGCGUAGAGAUCGGGAGGAAUACCAGUGGCGAAGGUGGCCUUCUGGACUGACACUGACACUGAGGUGCGAAAGCGUGGGUAGCAAACAGGAUUAGAUACCCCAGUAGUC